UACGGGAGGCAGCAGUGGGGAAUAUUGCACAAUGGGCGCAAGCCUGAUGCAGCCAUGCCGCGUGUAUGAAAAGGGCCUUCGGGUUGUAAAGUACUUUCAGUCGUGAGGAAGGUGUUAAGGUUAAUAACCUUAGCAAUUGACGUUAGCGACAGAAGAAGCACCGGCUAACUCCGUGCCAGCAGCCGCGGUAAUACGGAGGGUGCGAGCGUUAAUCGGAAUUACUGGGCGUAAAGGGCACGCAGGCGGUUAAUUAAGUUGGAUGUGAAAUCCCCGGGCUUAACCUGGGAAUGGCAUUCAAGACUGGUUAGCUAGAGUCUUGUAGAGGGGGUAGAAUUCCAUGUGUAGCGGUGAAAUGCGUAGAGAUGUGGAGGAAUACCGGUGGCGAAGGCGGCCCCUGGACAAAGACUGACGCUCAUGUGCGAAAGCGUGGGGAGCAAACAGGGAUUAGAUACC
rnacentral:rRNA from 1 species